rnacentral:rRNA from 1 species
AUUAGUAAGCGGAGGAAAAGAAACUAACCAGGAUUCCCAUAGUAGCUGCGAGCGAACAGGGAUGAGCCCAGCACUGAAUCCCGCGUUCGUAAACGGGCGCUGGGAAAUGUAGUGUUUGGGAGGGUCCGUUAUCCCAAGGUCGUGUGACGAGUCAAAGUCCUUCUUGAAUGGGGCCACAGCCCAUAGCGGGUGCUAGGCCCGUAGGGACCGUCGCCGAUCGCGGGAGGAUCUCUCCUCAGAGUCGGGUUGCUUGAGAGUGCAGCCCUAAGUGGGUGGUAAACUCCAUCUAAGGCUAAAUAUAACCACGAGACCGAUAGCGAACAAGUACCGUGAGGGAAAGUUGAAAAGAACUUUGAAGAGAGAGUUCAAUAGUACGUGAAACCGUUCAGGGGUAAACCUGAGAAACCCGAAAGGUCGAAAGGGGAGAUUCAGCGCGUAUCACGUUGCGGUACCGGAUCGUCGAGGGACGAACGACGUUCGCGUCGUGAGCACCUUCGGUCCGUCGAAUCGUUUCUGAACGCGUGCACUUCUCCCCGAGUAGGACGUCGCGACCCGUUGGGCGUCGGUCUAAGGGCUGCGGUGGAGACCGAUCGGACGGUUCGCCGUUCCGGUCGAACCCGUGGUUUUUUCCCGGCCGGCACGCUCGACGGUAUAAAUAUGGCGCCGGGCCGCUACUCAGUUAGCGUUCGACCUGCGGCAAGUUCGCCCGUCGCGUCGGUGAUCGGACCUGGUGCCGAUCCCGUGCGCGGGUGGCUGUUCGCCGUAGCGUUCUCGAACAGACCCGUUGAAACGCCGUUCUGCGACGCUAUUGCUUUGGGUACUUUCAGGACCCGU